UACGUAGGGGGCAAGCGUUGUCCGGAAUCAUUGGGCGUAAAGGGCGUGUAGGCGGUCAAGUAAGUGGAACGUGAAAUCCCUCGGCUUACCCGAGGACCUGCGUCCCAAACUGCUUGGCUUGAGUAUGGGAGAGGAUGAGGGAAUUCCUGGUGUAGCGGUGAAAUGCGUAGAUAUCAGGAGGAACACCGGUGGCGAAGGCGCUCAUCUGGCCCAAUACUGACGCUGAGGCGCGAAAGCUAGGGGAGCAAACGGG
rnacentral:rRNA from 1 species